GCCAAGGUAGCUCAGUUGGUUAGAGCGCCAGACUCAUAAUCUGGAGGUCGAGGGUUCAACUCCCUCCCUUGGCA
rnacentral:tRNA from 1 species